rnacentral:rRNA from 1 species
GGAUGAGCCCGCGGCCUAUCAGCUUGUUGGUGGGGUAAUGGCCUACCAAGGCGACGACGGGUAGCCGGCCUGAGAGGGCGACCGGCCACACUGGGACUGAGACACGGCCCAGACUCCUACGGGAGGCAGCAGUGGGGAAUAUUGCACAAUGGGCGAAAGCCUGAUGCAGCGACGCCGCGUGAGGGAUGACGGCCUUCGGGUUGUAAACCUCUUUCAGCAGGGACGAAGCGCAAGUGACGGUACCUGCAGAAGAAGCACCGGCCAACUACGUGCCAGCAGCCGCGGCCG